CAGUCGCCGCGGGAAUACGAAGGGGGCUAGCGUUGCUCGGAAUGACUGGGCGUAAAGGGCGCGUAGGCGGCGACCAAAGUCAGGCGUGAAAUUCCUGGGCUCAACCUGGGGGCUGCGCUUGAUACUUGGUUGCUUGAGUGGGGAAGAGGGUCGUGGAAUUCCCAGUGUAGAGGUGAAAUUCGUAGAUAUUGGGAAGAACACCGGUGGCGAAGGCGGCGACCUGGUCCUUGACUGACGCUGAGGCGCGAAAGCGUGGGGAGCAAACAGGAUUAGAUACCCCCGUAGUCCCUGUCUCUUAUAC
rnacentral:rRNA from 1 species